rnacentral:lncRNA from 1 species
UAAUAAUGGACUAGCUGGUGGAAGGAGACGGAGCAGGCAGCAGUGUGAAGUUCAAAGGCUCGGCUCACACCUGAUUCUCCCAGGGAGGGCUGCCCCCAGGACCGAACCCCCCUGCUUAUAUGAGGGGGGCGACCACCAUGCGCCAUGCUCUGCAGAACUGCAGCCUGGAUGGGGGGCUUCAAAGCACGCCUGCCGAUAGAUCAAGCGUCCUUUCCAACAGGAUAGCCCCCUCCUUGCUCACCUCCCCAAAUAAACCUGCGUAAUGAAGACAGAUGGCCUAGCUCAGUGCCGCCGCGUGCAGGUGGGGCCAGGGCGGCCCGAGGCCACACACCCCACCCUGGAGCGGGGCCUGAGGUGUCACCAGGACGGAGACCAACCUGCACCCCCUUCAUCACCGACCCCCCACCAGGGGCAGCAUCUCUAUGUGAUAAGCCAGGGGCUGCCUCCCCUUGUCCUUUGAACAGUUCUGCUUGGACGUCCUGUAGGCGGAGCCUGCGCCCUGGCAGCUGACAGUCACAAGGAGAAUGGACGUCCUUCAAACCCCAGGCAAACCAUUGGACCAAGGGUCAGGGCCCCACAUGGCUGGCUGUUUCUGGAACAGAUGAGUAUAUUUUUUCAACAAAUACCAAUACAGCACUUACUCAUUGCCAGGUUCUUUUCUACAUGCUUUGAAAAUAUUAACUUGUGCGUCAUCAAUGACUCUAUGAAAUGGGUGCUGUGAUUAUACCCAUUUACAGGGGAGAACACCAAGGCCCGGGGAGGUUAAGUGACUUGCCUGAGGUCACAGAACCAGUGGGUGGGGUAGCCUGGGUUUGAACUUCAGAGGCUGGUGGCUCCAGAGUUGGAAUGUUUAGUCACCCUUUCGUGUCUGAAUAAUCACGUGUUUGCUGUGUGUAGGCGCCAAUCAUGAACUGUCUCAUCUGAUUUCCCCAGAAGCCCCAUAAAAUGUGUCAUGACUUUGAUAUUGUAACGGCACUAUCUCUAUUUCGCAGAGAAAUAAAAUGGCACAGUCAUGGGUGAAUGAACGAGGG